rnacentral:rRNA from 1 species
GGCCUGACCGGGUGGUCCGUCGCUUCGGUGACGUGUACUGCCUUGGGUCGGGCCCUGCCUCUUGGGGAACACGGACUUGGGUGGGCUUUCGGGUCUGCCUGUCCGUGCAAGCCAAGACGUUUACCUUGAAAAAAUUAGAGUGUUCAAAGCGGGCGCACGCUUGCAUAGAUUAGCAUGGAAUAAUGGAAUAGGACCAGUGGUCUUGUUUUGUUGGUUUCGUUGACCGCGGUA